AAGGCAUGGUCCCGACCUUAUUAUCAGCUCUAACUCAACUUACACAUGCAAGUCUCCGCAACCCAGUGAAUAUGCCCUCAAUCCCCCCACCCGGGGACGAGGAGCGGGCAUCAGGCACAAACAUUAGCCCAAGACGCCUAGCCAAGCCACACCCCCAAGGGAAUUCAGCAGUGAUAAACAUUAAGCCAUAAGUGAAAACUUGACUCAGUUAGUGUUAAGAGGGCCGGUAAAACUCGUGCCAGCCACCGCGGUUAGACGAGAGGCCCUAGUUGAUAUUACAACGGCGUAAAGGGUGGUUAAGGAUAAACAAAAAUAAAGUCAAAUGGCCCCUUGGCCGUCAUACGCUUCUAGGAGUCCGAAGCCCUAAUACRAAAGUAACUUUAAUAAACCCACCUGACCCCACGAAAGCUGAGAAACAAACUGGGAUUAGAUACCCCACUAUGCUCAGCCGUAAACUCAGACAUCCAGCUACAAUUAGAUGUCCGCCAGGGUACUACRAGCAUUAGCUUAAAACCCAAAGGACCUGACGGUGUCUCAGACCCCCCUAGAGGAGCCUGUUCUAGAACCGAUAACCCCCGUUCAACCUCACCACUUCUAGCCACCCCAGCCUAUAUACCGCCGUCGUCAGCUUACCCUGUGAAGGUAAUAAAAGUAAGCAAAAUGGGCACAACCCAAAACGUCAGGUCGAGGUGUAGCGCAUGAAGUGGGAAGAAAUGGGCUACAUUUUCUAAUAUAGAAUAUUACGAACAUGCACCAUGAAACAAUGCUUGAAGGAGGAUUUAGUAGUAAAAGGGAAAUAGAGUGUCCCUUUGAACCCGGCUCUGAGACGCGUACACACCGCCCGUCACUCUCCCCUGUCAAAACGCACCAAAAAUACAUAAUACAACAGCACUGACAAGGGGAGGCAAGUCGUAACACGGUAAGUGUACCGGAAGGUGCACUUGGAUCAAACC
rnacentral:ncRNA from 1 species